AGCAGCCGCGGUAAUUCCAGCUCCAAUAGCGUAUAUUAAAGUUGUUGCAGUUAAAAAGCUCGUAGUUGAACUUCAGGCCUGGCUGGACGGUCCGCCCUCUGGGGUGAGCACUGUCUGUGGUCGGGUCCUACCUUCUGGCGAAGCGGCAUGGCCUUAACCGGCCGUGGCGGGGAACCAGGACUUUUACUGUGAAAAAAUUAGAGUGUUCAAAGCAGGCACGCGCUUGAAUACAUUAGCAUGGAAUAAUGGAAUAGGACAAUGGUUCUAUUUGUUGGUUUCUAGGACCGUUGUAAUGAUUAAUAGGGAUAGUUGGGGGCAUUAGUAUUCAAUUGUCAGAGGUGAAAUUCUUGGAUUUAUUGAAGACUAACUACUGCGAAAGCAUUUGCCAAGGAUGUUUUCAUUAAUCAAGAACGAAAGUUAGGGGAUCGAAGACGAUCAGAUACCGUCGUA
rnacentral:rRNA from 1 species